rnacentral:rRNA from 1 species
UGGGGAAUAUUGCACAAUGGGCGCAAGCCUGAUGCAGCAACGCCGCGUGAACGAUGAAGGUCUUCGGAUCGUAAAGUUCUGUUGCAGGGGAAGAUAAUGACGGUACCCUGUGAGGAAGCCCCGGCUAACUACGUGCCAGCAGCCGCGGUAAUACGUAGGGGGCUAGCGUUAUCCGGAUUUACUGGGCGUAAAGGGGGCGUAGGUGGUCUUUCAAGUCGGUGGUUAAAGGCUACGGCUCAACCGUAGUUAGCCUCCGAAACUGGAAGACUUGAGUGCAGGAGAGGAAAGUGGAAUUCCCAGUGUAGCGGUGAAAUGCGUAGAUAUUGGGAGGAACACCAGUAGCGAAGGCGGCUUUCUGGACUGCAACUGACACUGAGGCACGAAAGCGUGGGUAGCAAACAGG